AUUGAACGCUGGCGGCAUGCCUUACACAUGCAAGUCGAGCGGCAGCGCGGGGGCAACCCUGGCGGCGAGCGGCGGACGGGUGAGUAAUACAUCGGAACGUGUCCUUUCGUGGGGGAUAACCAGUCGAAAGACUGGCUAAUACCGCAUGAGAUCUCACGAUGAAAGCGGGGGACCGCAAGGCCUCGCGCGAUUGGAGCGGCCGCUGUCGGAUUAGCUAGUUGGCGGGGUAAAGGCCCACCAAGGCGACGAUCCGUAGCUGGUUUGAGAGAACGACCAGCCACACUGGGACUGAGACACGGCCCAGACUCCUACGGGAGGCAGCAGUGGGGAAUUUUGGACAAUGGGCGCAAGCCUGAUCCAGCCAUGCCGCGUGUGUGAAGAAGGCCUUCGGGUUGUAAAGCACUUUCGGCCGGAACGAAAUCGCGCGGGCGAACAUCCCGCGUGGAUGACGGUACCGGAAGAAGAAGCACCGGCUAACUACGUGCCAGCCGCCGCCGUAAAAC
rnacentral:rRNA from 1 species